UACGGGGGGGGCAAGCGUUGUUCGGAAUUACUGGGCGUAAAGGGCUUGUAGGUGGCCCCAUAAGUCAGACGUGAAAUCCCUCGGCUCAACCGAGGAACUGCGUCUGAGACUGCGGGGCUUGAAUCCGGGAGAGGGAUGCGGAAUUCCAGGUGUAGCGGUGAAAUGCUUAGAUAUCGUCAAGAACACCGAUAGUGUAGACAGCUUACUAGGCUCAUACUGACGCUGAGGCACGAAAGUGUGGGGAUCAAACAGG
rnacentral:rRNA from 1 species